rnacentral:rRNA from 1 species
AGCGUACACGGUGGAUGCCCUGGCAGUCAGAGGCGAUGAAGGGCGUGCUAAUCUGCGAUAAGCGCCGGUAAGGUGAUAUGAACCGUUAUAACCGGCGAUACCCGAAUGGGGAAACCCAGUGUGAUUCGUCACACUAUCAUUAACUGAAUCCAUAGGUUAAUGAGGCGAACCGGGGGAACUGAAACAUCUAAGUACCCCGAGGAAAAGAAAUCAACCGAGAUUCCCCCAGUAGCGGCGAGCGAACGGGGAGGAGCCCAGAGCCUGAAUCAGCAUGUGUGUUAGUGGAAGCGUCUGGAAAGGUGCGCGAUACAGGGUGACAGCCCCGUACACAAAAGCGCAUGUGCUGUGAGCUCGAUGAGUAGGGCGGGACACGUGAUAUCCUGUCUGAAUAUGGGGGGACCAUCCUCCAAGGCUAAAUACUCCUGACUGACCGAUAGUGAACCAGUACCGUGAGGGAAAGGCGAAAAGAACCCCGGCGAGGGGAGUGAAAAAGAACCUGAAACCGUGUACGUACAAGCAGUGGGAGCACAGGUUUACCUGUGUGACUGCGUACCUUUUGUAUAAUGGGUCAGCGACUUAUAUUCUGUAGCAAGGUUAACCGUAUAGGGGAGCCGGAGGGAAACCGAGUCUUAAUUGGGCGUUAAGUUGCAGGGUAUAGACCCGAAACCCGGUGAUCUAGCCAUGGGCAGGUUGAAGGUUGGGUAACACUAACUGGAGGACCGAACCGACUAAUGUUGAAAAAUUAGCGGAUGACCUGUGGCUGGGGGUGAAAGGCCAAUCAAACCGGGAGAUAGCUGGUUCUCCCCGAAAGCUAUUUAGGUAGCGCCUCGUGAAUUCAUCUCCGGGGGUAGAGCACUGUUUCGGCUAGGGGGCCAUCCCGGCUUACCAACCCGAUGCAAACUGCGAAUACCGGAGAAUGUUAUCACGGGAGACACACGGCGGGUGCUAACGUCCGUCGUGAAGAGGGAAACAACCCAGACCGCCAGCUAAGGUCCCAAAGUCAUGGUUAAGUGGGAAACGAUGUGGGAAGGCCCAGACAGCCAGGAUGUUGGCUUAGAAGCAGCCAUCAUUUAAAGAAAGCGUAAUAGCUCACUGGUCGAGUCGGCCUGCGCGGAAGAUGUAACGGGGCUAAACCAUGCACCGAAGCUGCGGCAGCGAACGUAUCACCCAAGACAACUUUACGGAGUUGACGAUUGACGGAGCGAAGCGACGUCAAAGCGUUCAUUAAAGUCGAGUUGGCUUAGGGAUACGUUCGUUGGGUAGGGGAGCGUUCUGUAAGCCUGUGAAGGUGUGUCGUGAGGCAUGCUGGAGGUAUCAGAAGUGCGAAUGCUGACAUAAGUAACGAUAAAGCGGGUGAAAAGCCCGCUCGCCGGAAGACCAAGGGUUCCUGUCCAACGUUAAUCGGGGCAGGGUGAGUCGACCCCUAAGGCGAGGCCGAAAGGCGUAGUCGAUGGGAAACGGGUUAAUAUUCCCGUACUUGGUGUUACUGCGAAGGGGGGACGGAGAAGGCUAUGUUGGCCGGGCGACGGUUGUCCCGGUUUAAGCGUGUAGGUGUGUGUUCCAGGUAAAUCCGGUUCACUUUAACACUGAGGCGUGACGACGAGGCACUACGGUGCUGAAGCAACAAAUGCCCUGCUUCCAGGAAAAGCCUCUAAGCAUCAGGUAACACGAAAUCGUACCCCAAACCGACACAGGUGGUCAGGUAGAGAAUACCAAGGCGCUUGAGAGAACUCGGGUGAAGGAACUAGGCAAAAUGGUGCCGUAACUUCGGGAGAAGGCACGCUGACACGUAGGUGAAGUGAUUUACUCAUGGAGCUGAAGUCAGUCGAAGAUACCAGCUGGCUGCAACUGUUUAUUAAAAACACAGCACUGUGCAAACACGAAAGUGGACGUAUACGGUGUGACGCCUGCCCGGUGCCGGAAGGUUAAUUGAUGGGGUCAGCGCAAGCGAAGCUCCUGAUCGAAGCCCCGGUAAACGGCGGCCGUAACUAUAACGGUCCUAAGGUAGCGAAAUUCCUUGUCGGGUAAGUUCCGACCUGCACGAAUGGCGUAAUGAUGGCCAGGCUGUCUCCACCCGAGACUCAGUGAAAUUGAACUCGCUGUGAAGAUGCAGUGUACCCGCGGCAAGACGGAAAGACCCCGUGAACCUUUACUAUAGCUUGACACUGAACAUUGAGCCUUGAUGUGUAGGAUAGGUGGGAGGCUUUGAAGUGUGGACGCCAGUCUGCAUGGAGCCGACCUUGAAAUACCACCCUUUAAUGUUUGAUGUUCUAACGUGGACCCGUAAUCCGGGUUGCGGACAGUGUCUGGUGGGUAGUUUGACUGGGGCGGUCUCCUCCUAAAGAGUAACGGAGGAGCACGAAGGUUGGCUAAUCCUGGUCGGACAUCAGGAGGUUAGUGCAAUGGCAUAAGCCAGCUUGACUGCGAGCGUGACGGCGCGAGCAGGUGCGAAAGCAGGUCAUAGUGAUCCGGUGGUUCUGAAUGGAAGGGCCAUCGCUCAACGGAUAAAAGGUACUCCGGGGAUAACAGGCUGAUACCGCCCAAGAGUUCAUAUCGACGGCGGUGUUUGGCACCUCGAUGUCGGCUCAUCACAUCCUGGGGCUGAAGUAGGUCCCAAGGGUAUGGCUGUUCGCCAUUUAAAGUGGUACGCGAGCUGGGUUUAGAACGUCGUGAGACAGUUCGGUCCCUAUCUGCCGUGGGCGCUGGAGAACUGAGGGGGGCUGCUCCUAGUACGAGAGGACCGGAGUGGACGCAUCACUGGUGUUCGGGUUGUCAUGCCAAUGGCACUGCCCGGUAGCUAAAUGCGGAAGAGAUAAGUGCUGAAAGCAUCUAAGCACGAAACUUGCCCCGAGAUGAGUUCU